UACGUAGGGGGCAAGCGUUGUCCGGAUUUAUUGGGCGUAAAGAGCGUGUAGGCGGCCUGGAAGGUCAGCUGUGAAAACUCGAGGCUCAACCUCGAGACGUCGGUUGAAACCACCUGGCUAGAGUCCGGAAGAGGAGAGUGGAAUUCCCGGUGUAGCGGUGAAAUGCGCAGAUAUCGGGAAGAACACCCGUGGCGAAGGCGGCUCUCUGGACAGUUACUGACGCUGAGGAGCGAAAGCGUGGGGAGCGAACAGG
rnacentral:rRNA from 1 species